rnacentral:lncRNA from 1 species
GGCCUCCAUUCCCAAAAUCCCUCUUGGGAAUGAAUUUUAUUCCAGUUUAGGGAAUGAAACAACGCUGACAAAGAUUAUGAGAAGUGCAGAAGCAGAAAAAAAAAGGAUCCACAAUGGAGCAGGAUCUCAGCGUGGCCACCUCUAAGAAAACAACCAAUCUUCUAAACUGUGAUUUGACAGCCAAAAUGAAGAUUUUUUUAUUUUUUUUCAGGGAAAAAAAGAGUAAUUUUGGCCAUUAAGGGAGUGAAAGGAGCAGCUGAUUCCCUCAUUUCCAGAAAGCAGAAAAAGGCUUUGCUGGGACAUAAAGGAUUAAAUCCUCCUCAUCCUCAUUCUCUGGCAACCCACUGACGUCAAGGGGUUAAUGAAAGGCAGAACGUGGCUCCAGGGGUCCCUUUUUGGAACUGCAGGAGCAGCACAAGGAAUUAAUAAAACCCCAGGAAUCCCCAGGGAUUCCAGCACACACUUCCAUGGUUUUUAGGCACACGAGCAGAGCGUUGACAUCUCUGGUUACGGAGCAGCCUCGGGAAUUAACAAAGCAUUACCAACAUUCACCAUGACUAAUCUGCUCAUUAACAGGGGGGUUUUGUUUUGUUUUUUUUUUUUUUAAACCUUUUUUUUAACCUUGUAAUGGGAAACAGGACAGGGAUAACCAUCCCUGUAAAUCCUACUUUGUUUCCCUAAGUUUUCCCAGUUUAACCACAUGGAACGACAGUGAAUUUCCACCACUGAACAGCCCCACACAAGUCAUGAACCUGGGGCUAAAAGCUGCAAAAAAAUUCAGUGUAUUCAGCACGUUGGCAUUUCUACCACACUUAGGGGACAUUGUGCUAUUUCUUAUGGCUCAUGAACUGCCUCUUUCUGGGCCCUGUGCUGAUUAAAUUUAUUAAAUCCUCACAACUAAAAGCUCUGAGCACUCUAACAUUAAUUAGGUUUGCAAGUAUAAACAACAGAGCAUCAUAUUUAUAAAAAAACAACACAAGAGUUCUCAGCCAGAAAAUCAAGCCACAAAUCAGCUGGUUUUUUUUUUUUUUCCUUUUUGCUUCAUAUAAAAAACCUGUUUAAGACAAAUUAUUUCUGUUUUCUUUGCUCUUCAGACUCGUAUGGGCAAGGAACCAACCAUAUUUUUUCUGGCAUGCUUUCCAAACAAUAUUUUUUCUGGUGGUUUUCCAGGAAUAUGAAGGAAAAAAAUAAUAUUGAAGUGAUAUCAUUAUCUCUUACAAUGAAUUUUUGUCUUUUAUUGCCCAAAUCCUUCCUUAUUCCAUUGAAUCUGAAGCCAUCAGGACUUCUCAAAUGGUGUGCAGGGACAGGAUAUUUAUUAUCGACCUUAAAAACAAUGGGAUAAAGCAGCUGGAAU